GGGUUGUAACGGGGCUUUGGUUUAGGUAGGGUAUGAAAUUGGCACAACGGUUUUUUUUUUCAGGUGGGGUAUGAAAUUUGAACAAAGGUUUUUGGUUCAGAGUACAUGAACUCAUUCUCUCACUACGUUUCUUUCCUAUUAUUCCUGCAGGGUUUUGUAAUCCUCUUUUCCUUUUGUCUAUAGUGAAUGUAGCAUUUUUCAAAAGCUGUUCUUUUAUUGUUUUUCGCUUUUCUCUUUCUUUCUUUUCAUGUUGUUGUUGUUUUUCUCUU
rnacentral:lncRNA from 1 species